GUUUUGGUAGUCUAAAGGCUUAGGACAUUUGCACGGAAUGCUGGAGAUCCGGGUUCAACUCCUGGCCGAAGUA
rnacentral:tRNA from 1 species